GACGAAUGCUGGCUGCGUGCUUAACACAUGCAAGUCGAACGGUGAAGGAGGGCUUGCCCUCCGGAUCAGUGGCGAACGGGUGAGUAACACGUGGGCAACCUGCCCCUCACUCUGGGAUAACGCCGGGAAACCGGCGCUAAUACCGGAUACGACCAGGCGCGACAUCUCGCCUGGUGGAAAGAAUUUCGGUGAGGGAUGGGCCCGCGGCCUAUCAGCUAGUUGGUGGGGUAACGGCCAACCAAGGCGACGACGGGUAGCCGGCCUGAGAGGGCGACCGGCCACACUGGGACUGAGACACGGCCCAGACUCCUACGGGAGGCAGCAGUGGGGAAUAUUGCGCAAUGGGCGAAAGCCUGACGCAGCGACGCAGCGUGAGGGACGAAGGCCUUCGGGUUGUAAACCUCUUUCAGCGGGGACGAAGCGAAAGUGACGGUACCCGCAGAAGAAGCACCGGCUAACUACGUGCCAGCAGCCGCCGUAAGAC
rnacentral:rRNA from 1 species